rnacentral:rRNA from 1 species
UGGGGAAUCUUGGACAAUGGGCGCAAGCCUGAUCCAGCAAUGCCGCGUGCAGGAAGAAGGCCUUCGGGUUGUAAACUGCUUUUGUACGGAACGAAAAGGCUCUUUCUAAUAAAGAGGGCCCAUGACGGUACCGUAAGAAUAAGCACCGGCUAACUACGUGCCAGCAGCCGCGGUAAUACGUAGGGUGCGAGCGUUAAUCGGAAUUACUGGGCGUAAAGCGUGCGCAGGCGGUUAUAUAAGACAGAUGUGAAAUCCCCGGGCUCAACCUGGGACCUGCAUUUGUGACUGUAUAGCUAGAGUACGGUAGAGGGGGAUGGAAUUCCGCGUGUAGCGGUGAAAUGCGUAGAUAUCAAGAGGAACACCUGAGGUGAAGACGGGUUGCUGGGCUGACACUGACGCUGAGGCGCGAAAGCCAGGGGAGCAAACGGGAUUAGAUACCCGAGUAGUCCCUGAGCGGGCUGGCAAGGCGCAU